rnacentral:rRNA from 1 species
AUUGAACGCUGGCGGCAGGCCUAACACAUGCAAGUCGAACGAGUGGCGGACGGGUGAGUAAUGUCUGGGAAACUUCCCGAUGGAGGGGGAUAACUACUGGAAACGGUAGCUAAUACCGCAUACCAUCGGAUCUGCCCAGAUGGUACUAGCUUGUAGGUGAGGUAACGGCUCACCUAGGCGACGAUCCCUAGCUGGUCUGAGAGGAUGACCAGCCACACUGGAACUGAGACACGGUCCAGAAGCCUACGGGAGGCAGCAGUGGGGAAUAUUGCACAAUGGGCGCAAGCCUGAUGCAGCCAUGCCGCGUGUAUGAAGAAGGCCUUCGGGUUGUAAAGUACUUUCAGCGGGGAGGCGGUACCCGCAGAAGAAGCACCGGCUAACUCCGUGCCAGCAGCCGCGGUAAUAC